rnacentral:sRNA from 1 species
UGAAUUGAGAAUUGACUAGUCCUCAGAU